CCAACUUUGUGCAAAUGUAUUAUUACAACAUUCCUAUUAGCCGCGUGUGGAAAAAGUACUGGAAACGACAUUUGUUGGCCAACAUAGUUAUCGUGUUGGUAGUCAUCUCUUAUUUUAGCCGAGGUUUUAAAUCCGUGUUUCGCUCACAUUUUAAAGAAACUGGAGAGAGUUCUGUAAAGUACGUGAUUAGAUGUACCAAGAGUGAGAUCUAACAUCGAGACUUCACCCGAAAAUACGAAUUUCGAAUUCAGAGAUGCUCGUGUAACUUAUAUCAACAAAGAAUACGACGACGACAAUUAUGAAAUAUCAAGCGAACAUUAUUUCUACGAUAGCUCAAGGCCUUAUCUAACAAGCUAUGAUAAUAGUCGAAACAGAAGAGAACUUUGGAACUCGUUUUGGAAAUGUUUGUGGAUGAAUUUAAAUGUAAUUUUGAGUAUUAUAAUUCCAAUUG